UACGGAGGGUGCGAGCGUUGUCCGGAAUCACUGGGCGUAAAGGGCGCGUAGGCGGCCUGAUAAGUAGGGGGGUGAAAUCCUGCGGCUUAACCGCAGGGCUGCCUUCUAAACUGUCAGGCUCGAGCACAGUAGAGGCAGGUGGAAUUCCCGGUGUAGCGGUGGAAUGCGUAGAGAUUGGGAAGAACAUCAGUGGCGAAGGCGGCCUGCUGGGCUGUUGCUGACGCUGAGGCGCGACAGCGUGGGGGAGCAAACAGGG
rnacentral:rRNA from 1 species